GAGAGGAGCGUUGUUAUAGGUUGCUGGCUCUGUCUGCUCAUAGUUAUCUCUUUCAUCAGCAAAGUCAUCAUACGCAUCAGGUCCACCAACAAGAGCACCAGUGAGUAGGUUGGGGUCACUCCUUUUGCUGCUAAACCAAGUAUUAUAACCUCCACGGCAGCUGACAAACGAAGGGUUAACCUUGAUCGAAACAAUGGAUGAACCUCGGUGAUGAACCCUUUGUGGGAAGUUGUUUCCAUAGCCCACCAUGUAACUAGUUGCUCUUGGGUUGUUUCCAAGAAGGUA
rnacentral:lncRNA from 1 species